rnacentral:rRNA from 1 species
CUACGGGUGGCACCAGUGAGGAAUAUUGCACAAUGGGGGGAACCCUGAUGCAGCAACGCCGCGUGGAGGAUGACGCAUUUCGGUGUGUAAACUCCUUUUAUAUGUCAAGAAAAUGACGGUAGCAUAUGAAUAAGCACCGGCUAACUCCGUGCCAGCAGCCGCGAUAAUACGGAGGGUGCAAGCGUUACUCGGAACCACUGGGCGUAAAGGACGCGUAGGCGGGUUGGAAAGUCAGGUGUGAAAUCCUACAGCUUAACUGUAGAACUGCACUUGAAACUUCUAAUCUAGAGUAUGGGAGGGGGAGAUGGAAUUAGUGGUGUAGGGGUAAAAUCCGUAGAUAUCACUAGGAAUACCUAAAGCGAAGGCGAUCUCCUGGAACAUUACUGACGCUAAGGCGUGAAAGCGUGGGGAGCAAACAGGAUUAGAUACCCCGGUAGUC